rnacentral:rRNA from 1 species
UAAGCGGAGGAAAAGAAAAUAACCAUGAUUCCCUCAGUAAGGGCGACUGAAGCGGGAAGAGCUCAUUCUGUGAAUCUGCACCCUGUGGUGCCGAGUUGUGGAAUGGAGAAGCACGUCAGCUGCAGACCCCGGUCCAAGUCUUCUGGAAAGGAGCGCUUGAAAGGGUGACAGCCCCGUAUCUGGCUGGGUGUCUGUGGCAUUAGCAUGUGCCUUCGACGAGUCGAGUUGCUUGGGAUUGCAGCUCUAAGUGGGUGGUAAAUUCCAUCUAAAGCUAAAUAUCGGUGGGAGACCGAUAGCGUACAAGUACCGUGAGGGAAAGAUGCAAAGAACUUUGAAAAGAGAGUUAAAGAGUACCUGAAAUCGCUGAAAUGGAAGCGAAGGAAACCAGUGGCAUUCUCCAACAUUUUCUCUCGUUGCUUGCGGCGAGGGCGCUGUGUUGGAGAGUCGGCCAGCAUGGGUUUGGACCGGCGGAAGACAUCCCCCAGGAGGCAGCUAGAAUUCCUAGCAAUCACUGAGGGAUGGUGCGCUGGUCGAGACCGAGGCUAGUCACGUUUGUGCUCGUGAUGCUGGCGAAAUGGUUUUCUUUACCCCGUCUUGAAACACGGACCAAGG